rnacentral:rRNA from 1 species
UACGGGGGGAGCAAGCGUUGUUCGGAUUUACUGGGCGUAAAGGGCGCGUAGGCGGUCGUGAAAAUCCACUUGUGAAAUCUCCGGGCUUAACUCGGAACGGUCAAGUGAUACUGUCGGACUAGAGUACAGAAGGGGCAACUGGAAUUCUCGGUGUAGCGGUGAAAUGCGUAGAUAUCGAGAGGAACACCGGCGGCGAAGGCGGGUUGCUGGGCUGAUACUGACGCUGAGGCGCGAAAGCCAGGGGAGCGAACGGG